rnacentral:lncRNA from 1 species
AUUUGUCCCAGUUGUUGAGCAUGUCCAGCCACUUGGACUCCCUCUGCCUCAGCACCUCCAGGGGAACUUCCUCCAGCCUGAGGAUCAGAGGGCAGGGCAUCAGAUGUGUCAAGAGAAGGAAAGACCCUGGCUUUGGCCCCAGCCACCAACCUGGCCAGCCCUGCAGCCCAAUGCCUAUGUCUCUAUAUCUCCUUCAAGGCUGCAGACUGACUCAUCGUGCCCUACUGCAGAUGAGCGGAGUGCUUGCUGCCCCCGCCACAAAGGUCACAGGCCAGAGAAAAGGGGGCAAGGGCCUAUUCUCCCGACAUGUCAAGAGGCCAGGGAUGCCUUGGCUCUCUGGGGCAAAGGCUGAGUGUGUGCCUCUGCACUGAAGUCAAGCAUUCCUGUCUUGGGCUUGCCUUAGUAAAUAAGCCUCCUCAGGGGGCCAGCAGCUAGGAGUAAAGUUGGAUGCAAAAACUAGUCAAACAAAUACAGAAAUAACCUGCUCGCCUCUUCGCCUGAGCCAAGCUGGUUACUCAACUUUUCCCCAAUUACACCCUUGCUCUUCCCCAUCACUCAGCCU